rnacentral:lncRNA from 1 species
CAAAUUUACUUGAGCAAAUGACUGUGGAGCAGCCAUGCAGCUAUUUUGCCUUCUGGAACAGUGAUCUUAUCAAAUGUACGUGAGAACGAUGCAUCUGUGGAAACUCUGAAGUCAAAAGCAGUACCUGAAAAGAAGGAAGAAAAAGCAAUGAAGGCAGGAGAGCAAGAUAAACCAAAGAUGAAACAAGCAAAUCCUGGAAAAGACAAAGAAUUGAAAUCUCCAGCUGCUACAAAAGAUAAAGAACACACUAAAGAAAAGGAAGGAAAGAAUCCUGCAGCUUUAAAAGAUAAAGAGUCUCUGAAAGGAAAAAAUCCCAAGAAUCCAGAGGGGUCAAAGGAUAAAGAGACUGGUAAAAGAAAAGAUGUGAGGCCUUCAGCAGUCUUAAAGGAAAAGGGAAAAGAAAUGAAGGUUUUGACUACAACUAAGGAGAAAGCUACGGUGAAAAAGGAAGGGGAGAAGAAAGGGAAGAGCACAUGAAAACGUCAGAAGCUGAGGAUGAUAUUGAGAGGAAGCUCUUCAGGUCUUUCACCACACGUGCCUAAAGAUGAAAUGCAUUAAUACAGCAUAUGUACCUCAUCUACAUUUGGCUGAAAUUUUAUUAUUUCCAGCUCCGUCGAUGGAAGAUUUGACCUCCUGGGAUUUUAAGACUUAUAGUACUUUAAAGGCAUUAACUUUAACAUUAACUAUCAUAUGAGAUUGCUGUUUCAACAAGACUUACUUUUCCCAGUGCAUUUCUAUUGUUUAACUGACAAACUGGGAAACAAAGAUUGGGAUCAUUAGUGAUGCUCCCUACAGGCAUGCAUCUCAGAUUCAAGUUGAAGCAAUUCCUCUCAUUAAAAAUCAUUUUAAAAUGUUGCAAAUGUCUGUAUUUCUUUGCUACUUCUAUUAUAUUUGCCACAUGUUAAAUUUUUCCUCUCUGUGAACUACUUUUUGUUUUUCCCAGUUAUAUAAAAUAGUCUUGAAUUGCCAGUUAAAAAUAAGUCUUAAAAACAAAAUAAAAUGAGUUGUUCUAGACAACAGCAGCAAAAUCUCCCAAAACCAAUAGUCUGCUCAUUCUUCACUACACAGCCCCAAGGUAAAUGACAAAUCAAACAGUGAGG